AAAAGGGUCACCCACUUCUGAGAGUUCUUCUUCCCAAAAAGACCUAUCUUCCUCUGCCACUCUCAAUCCUCGCAGGUACUAAUCUAAUCACGUUGAUAUUAUUUUUUUUGCAACCCCCGUUUGAUUCCCAAGAAAAUCCAUCCCCCAUUUGAUUUCCGGGAAAAUUCAUUCUCGUUUGAUUUCCGAGAAAAUCCAUUCAAAACCCCCAAAGAAAACCAAAAAAUUUGCUUUUCUUUUGCUCCCUGUGUUUUCUGGAUCUGUUUUAAGGGUCUCUUUGCUGUUGUGCCAUUGGAUUUAAAUUUCACGAACCCUAAAUCCACGAUUUUUGAGCCAGAUUUUGUAUCCUGUGCGCGGGCUGGACUGGUAGGAAAAUAUCGGGAAAUUUUCCGAUAAAUCGGUGCUUCGCCGAUAUUUCGCCGAUAUAUAGGCGAUUUUGCCGAUUUUUUUGUCGAUUUUUCCGUCGAUCGAUAAUCGGUGACGAUUAUCGUCUCGGCGCCGUCCGAUAUCCGAUAUUUCUUCGAAAUAUCGGCGACAUUUUCCGAUUUUUCAAUCCCUGAUUGAGGCAGAGAUCGAGUACAACCCUAGGGCAUAAUCUCAAUGGCGACUCCUGAUCAUGCUGAAAAUGAUCUUCAGCCAUUCUUUGUUCUUCACAAAGCUUUGGUUCAGAAAUCUGAGAGGAAAUCAUCAGGAUCUAGGAAAAUCAGGAGGAGAAUUGAAUUAUCUCCAAUAUCAGCUAAAAAUGCUGAGAAAAUGGAAAUUGGCACUGGUGAAGAACGGGAUGAUCAUCACUAUGAGCACUUGCGAAUGGAAGCUUUCAAUUUUGUCUGGUCGAAGAUUGAGUCCACCAUUAAGGAUGUUUUGAGGAACAUCAAUCUUAAUGUAUUCAAUGAGAUUCAUCGCUGGGUUUGUGAAUCAUUUGAUGCAAUUAAAUCAUGUGGGACCACACUCACCAAGGCAACUCACUCAUACCCCAUUGUAACUGAUGCUACUUUUAGACAGCUAUUCACUGGGUUGGUUUUCACCAAGAAUAUGGAGUUUGUUGAUGAUCUGAUGACGUUUGAAGAGCUCGGUCUACAUCUAAAAUCUCACGGAUGUCACGUGGCUAACUUAUCAUCUAUUGACUUUUCGGCAAAUAAUGGCAUUGGUGGCUGUCUCAGAAGUUUGUUGAGACAGUUUCUAAUGGUUACUUUGGAUGCAGCUGAUAUAUCCAUUUUAGCAUCAUGGUACAGUGACCAAGGAAACUACAACAAGCCUGUGGUUGUGAUUAUAGAUGAUAUGGAGCGAUGCUGUGGGUCUGUAUUAUCAGAUUUCAUCCUUAUGUUGAGUGAAUGGGCGGUCAAGGUUCCAGUCAUUUUAAUAAUGGGAGUUGCAACGACUCUUGAUGCCCCAAGAAAUAUACUUCCUUCAAAUGUGCUCCAACACUUGCACGUUUCCAAAUUCCUCUUGGGAUCUCCAUCUGAGAGAAUGGAUGCAAUUGUUGAGGCUGUUCUUGUGAGACUGUGUUCUGGGUUUUGUGUUGGCUACAAGGUGGCUGCUUUUAUGAGAAACUACUUUUUAAGGCAAGAUGGAACAUUAACCUCUUUUAUUAGAGCUUUGAAGAUUGCAUGUGUCGAACAUUUCUCCUCAGAGCCUCUAAGUUUCAUGCUCAAGGCGUUAUUUGUUGAGGAAAACAGUCAGGGGUUUUGGAGUGAAGAACAUGCACUCUUUCCAGAAGAAAUGUUAAAAUACGCUUUUGAUCUUCCAUCUUGUAGGAGGAAUAACACGGAAGAACGGACUGGUGAAAACUUGGCUCAUGAUUUGUCAGAACUGAAGAGAUUGCAAAAGUGCUGGAGCACUACAGUUCUGUGCCUAUAUGAAGCUGGAAAGUAUAAUAAAAUCCAAUUGUUAGACUUGUUUUGUGAGGCAGUUGUUCCAUGUUUGGGCAACUCAACAGCUUCUAAUCAUCACUUGGGUUCUGGAAUAUCAUCUUCUAGUGAUCACUCUAUUCAUCACCAAUAUCUGAUCUCGGAAAAGUGCAGUUUUAUCUGUCAAGCAAUACGCAAGGUGAGGGAUCUCCCAGUUGUGCUACUUUAUCAAUUGCUUAAGAGCUGGGAAAAACUCACAGAGGAUGUCAUUGAGAUUCAUGACAAAGUGAAGGAACUCCAAUCGCUGCUGAAAUUUGAGAAUGGCAAGAGUUUGAAACAAGAUUUGACAAAUAUACCCAAGAGACAUACAUCUCGGAGUCAUUUAAAUAUGGAUAAGGACUCAAAAGUGUUAAAUGAGAAAGCUGCUAGGUUGAUGGAGACCAUGGUUAGGGAUUACAUGCAGCCUGUUGAGUGCAUACCUUUUCACGAAAUAGUGUGUUUUAAGAAUGUUGACAAACUACAAUCAGCUUUAAUGGGAGAUCCAAGAAGAAGAAUUCAACUUGAUCUUCUGGAGUUCCAAAAAAUCCUUCUUUGUAGUUGCUGCAGCAAUAGUAGUAAAGCGAUAUUACCAUCUAUGCACGACACUUCAAUUCUGUAUACCCUGGCUCAGGAGCAUGGUGAUCUUAUCAAUCUCCAUGAUUGGUACCAGUCUUUCAAAUCAACUGUCUUUCAGCCAAGUACCAAAGGGAAACACAAGCUGAAGCAGUCCCCAGCUAAGAAAAGAAAGGACACAAAUGAAUCUCAAAACCAGAGUGAAGCAUCGAUUCAGUAUCCUAUUCCUUUUCCAUUCUGCAUAGCAUUUUUCACUUUCAUCGGAUUAGUAACUAUGAUGCAGACUUCUUAAACAUACAAUGGAUUCAAACAUUAAAUCACAAAUUCACACUGCAUAACUUGUUGGGAAGGCCAGAUUAGGUGCUUUUAACCCUUUUGUUAUAGAUAUUAAUUUAGGAUCCUAGAAUUUCGCUUGAGUUUUACUGUCAGUGUCAUUUCAUUAGAUUAUAUGAAUAGAAAUGAUCAAGACAAUGAAAAUCAUGGAAAACAUUUACUGUAUUUUGGCCAUUUAUGCAGGAAUCCGAACUUACAAGACUCUCCAAACUUGAGACAAGAACCAUAGAAAACAGUAACUAGAUUCUAAUGAUUUGCAAACUUGAGCUGGAAACAAACACUGCAUGAAGUUACUCUAGAGUGCGAUUCUGCAGGGCAGUCACAGAGCUCCAGAUUACUGGCCUGCUACGGAUGCCCAGCAAAAGACGGCCAGAUUAUGUGCAGAGGGUAGCAUUCGGAUUGUAACGACUGGAGCCAGCCAUUAACCGGUUUGCUCUGCCUUGCUUCAUUCUUCUUUGAUGAUCUUUCCUUAUAUGCAAAUGAAUUCUAUCUUGAUUUUAUGCAAUUGUAUGAUUAUUUCGUUCAAAGAUUAGCUGAAAAAUGCAGUUUUAGGCAUAAGAAUGAUGUUUGUAGUUGUAUCAAUGAACUGAAGAAAAUUAACACAGGGAACUUGUACUGAUAUAACAAUUUGUGGAAA